GAAUAAAGGGGUGAAUUGAGGAGUAUCCCUUCUUUCCUCCUGCUCUCUCACCUGAGAAGAUAGCACUGGAUGUUCCCAGCAGCCUCGCAAAGUUCAUGGGUUUAUGGAAACCUCUGCACUACCACAUGAAUAGGAGGGAACACAGAUGACAGGAGAAUAGAAGGCUGCUGGUUUGCAAGGAGCAAUGUUUAGAGGAUGUGUCCUGGGCCAGGACCCAAAUGCAUGGCAAUAGUUUGCUGAGGCUCUGCUAGCAAGCCGGGAAUGACUGUGAUGCCCUCUGUGCCAUUCUGGAUGACAGAAGAUUUAUGCCUGGGCCACUUGAAGACAGCUGCCUAAAGCGCUGCAAGUCCAGGCAGAAAGCUACACCUUCAAGGUAACCUCUUCAUCUGGCUGUUUCCCCUGCUGUCUCCCUGGCUGUAUGUUGUUAACCUAAAGAUCAUUAGAGAUAGUUGCA